rnacentral:misc_RNA from 1 species
GAUGGAGAACGUAGCGAAAUGCGAUAAGUAAUGUGAAUUGCAGAAUUCAGUGAAUCAUCGAAUCUUUGAACGCACAUUGCGCCCGCCAGUAUUCUGGCGGGCAUGCCUGUCUGAGCGUCAUUUCAACCCUCACGCCCCUAGGGCGUGGUGUUGGGGAUCGGCCAAAGCCCGCGAGGGACGGCCGGCCCCUAAAUCUAGUGGCGGACCCGUCGUGGCCUCCUCUGCGAAGUAGUGAUAUUCCGCAUCGGAGAGCGAUGAGCCCCUGCCGUUAAACCCCCAACUUUCCAAGGUUGACCUCAGAUCAGGUAGGAAUACCCGCUGAACUUAAGCAUAUCAAUAAGCGGAGGA